rnacentral:rRNA from 1 species
AUUGAACACUGGCGGCAGGCUUAACACAUGCAAGUCGAGCGGAGAUGAGGUGCUUGCACCUUAUCUUAGCGGCGGACGGGUGAGUAAUGCUUAGGAAUCUGCCUAUUAGUGGGGGACAACAUUCCGAAAGGAAUGCUAAUACCGCAUACGCCCUACGGGGGAAAGCAGGGGAUCUUCGGACCUUGCGCUAAUAGAUGAGCCUAAGUCGGAUUAGCUAGUUGGGGGGGUAAAGGCCUACCAAGGCGACGAACUGUAGCGGGUCGGAGAGGAUGAUCGGCCAAACUGGGACUGUGACACGGCCCAGACUCCUACGGGAGGCAGCGGUGGGGAAUAUUGGACAAUGGGCGGAAGCCUGAUCCAGCCAUGCCGCGUGUGUGAAGAAGGCCUUUUGGUUGUAAAGCACUUUAAGCGAGGAGGAGGCUACCUGGAUUAAUACUCUAGGAUAGUGGACGUUACUCGCAGAAUAAGCACCGGCUAACUCUGUGCCAGCCGCCGCAGUAAAAC